rnacentral:tRNA from 1 species
GCCUUCGUGGUGUAAUGGUCAGCACACUGAGCCGGUAUUUAGAGGUCCGUGGUUCGAUCCCCGGCGAAGGCA